rnacentral:lncRNA from 1 species
AUUAGUGUUCCAUGAAGUAGGUUAAAAUGUAAUCUUUCUUGCGCAAUGCUUGCUAACAUACAUUAUUUAGAAAUUCUCAUUUUGCAGCGUGAGCCAAAUUUGCUCCCUUGAAUUCUAGGAAUCCCUCCUUCAGUGUUGUUUGGGGUCUGGUAACUCCAGCACCGCCUUGGAGGGAGCAGCUAACUUUUCCUUGUUGCUGCUGCUGAUUCUGCGUCAGCCCACAGCAGUCUGGAAUUUGGUUUCUACCUCAUUUGCAGCAUGUAUAAUUAGCAACAAUGGGAACCGUGAGAAAAGACUCUAGACUUUGAAAGUUGUGGUUAUUAUUGUAAAGGGGGCUUUUGGUACUCUGUAAAUAAGAGGGGAACUGUCAACAGCUUCCUGUUUAGAGAAAAGAAUCUGCAAUAUGCCAAGGAAGUCGGGGUGGAACCUUUAUGUGUGUGCGUGUGGUUGUUUUGUGGGUGUUACUGUGAAGUGCUAUUUUGUGGCUCGCUCUCUCUGAAAACCCUGGUGAAGAGGAGGGACUGACUGGCCUUUUCUAAGGAGUCCUGUAAGCUGGUUCUGAUCUUUAUUCUUAAAAGUAAUUAUCUUGAGAAGAAACUAGCCUGGAACUAAAUAUGCAUUGAUGUGAGGUCUUCCCUAACUGAAAUGUAGAUUGAGGAUGCUCGAUAAAAAUUUGCUCCAGGUCUUGUGUGAGUGAUUUGGUAACUGAUGAGCAAGGAUUGCUCCGGCUGUUGUGUGUGCAUUGCUGUGGUUCUGCUAGCUCCUUCUGCAGCUCCAAGUUUCAAGGAAACCUCAGGUUCUGAAGCAAACAGAAGCCUAGAUGGAUAAACAGGUUUCUAGAUCUUACAGAUUUAACAGAAACGAGGCGUAUUUUAGACAGCCAUCUGAAAUAGAACCAGCAUUUGAAGGAGCAUAGAUAGACUGGCUCCACUCGAUAUAUGCAGUCAGUAGGUUGAUGAUAUAGUUAUAUUUUAGUUUGGAGAAAUAAUACAUUGUUUGGACAGUAGGUUGACGAUAUAGUUAUAUUUUAGUUUGGUGAAAGAAUACAUUGUUUUUUGCUUCUGUUACUAGGCUCAGAAUUGUGGGUUCUACAUUUUGCUCUCGUUGGGUGAGAAUUCUGAGAGCCUGUAGCCGCAGCAGUAAAUGAAUAACUGCUUGAAUCAAUUAUUUUCCAAGCAGCUUUCAGUGAAUGGACCUUUUGAUCAGAGCUUCCGUUAGGACUGUCCACUGUCUGAUGUGCUUGUACAUACAUGUAUUUACUAAGACGUCUUCCAGUCAUUUAACUGACCUCAUGUUCUUGUAACCCAGACGCUACCACUUUCAUGAGUCAACUGGUGUGUGACAUUUCAAUUGAGAAUGGGGGGACCAGCUAGCACUGUCAUUUAAAGGCAUCUCUCGUGGUAUACACUUGGUGCUUUAACUUUUCUUGUGUCGACUGUUAUCUUCACUCUUUUUCUUGGUUCUCUCCCUGGUUUUAAAUUCACAAGAUGAUUAUGUACGACAUCCUCAUGCCCUCAUGCAUGAGACUGGAUUCCAACAAUCAAAACUGUGAGAGAGAGAGAGUCGGUGUUAGUGGCAAAAUGUCGGUGAUAAAAAGUUGGGAAAAGAGCCUCCCUGAUGAAAAUAAGAACUUUCAAAGCCUCGAGCCAAGGGUUUGGUUUUUUGUUUUUGUUUUGUUUUUUUUUUUUAAAUAAGGAAAGGGGGCUGAGGAGCAUCCCCCUGCAGCAGCGAGUCUGUGCUGCCUGCUAUCAAGGUCAAGAGUGCUUCAGCCUCAGAAGAUGCCAGCAUGGAAUGAUUGACUCUAGAAACCUGGCUGCUGAAUUAUUAAAGGCUCUGGGUCUAGUUUCAGGAAGCCUUAACCCUUUCAGUGCCACGAGCACGUCUGGCCGUCUGGUGCUACCUGUGGACUCUUUUCCAGAAUGAUAUCUGAAGUGCAUAAAACAAAGUAUGCUGUGUUGCAAAGGAAACUACUUUUCAUGAAAAUGUGUCUUU